CACGUGGGGGGCAAGCGUUGUCCGGAUUUAUUGGGCGUAAAGAGCUCGUAGGCGGCUCAGUAAGUCAGGUGUGAAACCUCCAGGCUCAACCUGGAGACGCCACCUGAUACUGCUGUGGCUAGAGUCCGGUAGGGGAGCGUGGAAUUCCUGGUGUAGCGGUGAAAUGCGCAGAUAUCAGGAGGAACACCAGCGGCGAAGGCGGCGCUCUGGGCCGGAACUGACGCUGAGGAGCGAAAGCGUGGGUAGCAAACAGG
rnacentral:rRNA from 1 species